CUUAGUGGCGAACGGGUGAGUAACGCGUGAGUAACCUGCCCUAGAGUGGGGGACAACAGUUGGAAACGGCUGCUAAUACCGCAUAAGCGCACAGUACCGCAUGGUACGGUGUGAAAAACUCCGGUGGUAUGAGAUGGACCCGCGUCUGAUUAGGUAGUUGGUGGGGUAACGGCCUACCAAGCCGACGAUCAGUAGCCGACCUGAGAGGGUGACCGGCCACAUUGGGACUGAGACACGGCCCAA
rnacentral:rRNA from 1 species